GGACCGUUAGUGUAGUGGUUAUCAUACUUGCCUUCCAAGCAGGUGACAGGGGUUCGAUUCUCCUACGGUUCA